rnacentral:lncRNA from 1 species
GCCUGCCACCACGCCCGGUUGAUUUUUCUAUUUUUAGUAGAGACGGGGUUUCACCAUGUUGGCCAGGCUGGUUGGUCUCAAACUCCUGACCUGAAGUGAUCCACCCGCCUUGGCCUCCCAAAGUUCUGAGAUUUCAGGUGUGAGCCACCAGGCCCAGCAUCCCUGUGGUUUUGAGUAGACAAUCUCCCACUCAGAGUCCUCCAGGCUGGGCCGGCCCCCACCCUGCUGUCUGCCUGGCUUCUGGCUUCUCUGGGUGCCAUGCCUCCUCCUGCUGCCCUUGGGGGUAUGUCUUGGGGGAUCACUGAGGCAUGUGUCUUCCUCACCCUGUCUGCCUCUCAUCUGUCUGCUUCCCUCUUUCUUCCUUUCUCCUUCUUUUAUUUUUAUUUAUUUAUUUUGUUUAGUAGUUAGAGGAAGUCAUUAAAAAAAACAUCCCCUUGGCGUCCUCCCCUCGGCGUCCUCCCCUCUGCGUCA